AAUGAACGUUGGCGGCAUGGAUUAGGCAUGCAAGUCGCACGAGAACCCAAUUAGCUUGCUAUGAGGGGGACAGUGGCGAAAGGGAGAGUAACGCGUGGUUAUGUACCUUCGAGACCGGGAUAGUGUCGGGAAACUGGCAGUAAUACCGGAUAACAUCUUCGGAUCAAAUGGUGUGAUUCCGCUCGAAGAUCGGACCGCGUACUAUUAGCUUGUUGGUGAGGUAAUGGCUCACCAAGGCUGCGAUGGUUACCGGGUGUGAGAGCAUGGCCCGGCUCACUGGGACUGAGACACUGCCCAGACAUCUACGGAUGGCUGCAGUCGAGAAUCUUCGGCAAUGGACGAAAGUCUGACCGAGCGAUGCCGCGUGCGGGAUGAAGGCCCUCGGGUUGUAAACCGCUGUCAGUUGUUAGGAAAUCUAUAGGGGUUCUCUCCUAUGGUUGACCGAUCUUCAGAGGAAGGACGGGCUAAGUUCGUGCCAGC
rnacentral:rRNA from 1 species